rnacentral:rRNA from 1 species
UACGAAGGGGGCUAGCGUUGUUCGGAAUCACUGGGCGUAAAGCGCACGUAGGCGGAUCUUUAAGUCAGGGGUGAAAUCCCGAGGCUCAACCUCGGAACUGCCUUUGAUACUGGGGAUCUCGAGUCCGGGAGAGGUGAGUGGAACUGCGAGUGUAGAGGUGAAAUUCGUAGAUAUUCGCAAGAACACCAGUGGCGAAGGCGGCUCACUGGCUCGGAACUGACGCUGAGGUGCGAAAGCGUGGGGAGCAAACAGG